rnacentral:misc_RNA from 1 species
CAUUAAUGAGGACCUUUCACUGUCUGUGUGGGAGUGUAAAUUUUGUUGUUUGUCGGUUACUUGUAUUUCAAGGAAACACGGAGAGCUAAGAUGAACUGCAUUAUGGUAACUUACUGCUAGGGUUUCUCUCUCUUAAAACACCAUCUAGUCAAUCUAAAUUUACCUUACGAUAGUCUAAACCAUGAAUAAUAGUGCUGUUACAAUACAAAGCCAGCAUUUCACUCACAGAGUGCAAUAGUGGCAGAGUUGCAGACGACCCCGACGGGAGAGCAACAAGAGCAACAACAAUCAGUCUGUCAGUCAGUCACUCAGUCAGUCUUCUCAGUGCUGGCAGUGGCAUUCCGAAGCAGCGCAUGUGGGACGGCAUCAAUGAUUGCUGCAGUAACGGAGAGGAUGAGUUUGUGCAGCUGUGUGGCAUUGAGGAGUGCCGGGAGAAGAAUGUCGGGUGUGUGUGAGCCUGUUUACAUCAACACUCGAGAGUCAUACUACUGCCAGUGCCGGCCAUGCAGGGUACAGACUCGUGUCAGAAAGUUCAAGUGUGAAGACGUUGACGAGUGCGUGGAGUCGCCCAGAUCCUCUCCCUGUGGACCAUCCCCUCAGCAGUGUUCGAUCCGCCCAGCAGCAGCAACGGUCAGGAGAAGGCUGUCAUUGAAGUGUCAACUCCCCAAGCUGGCACGGUGUGUACAGAUGUUUGUCGGGUUCCUGAAGAUUCGGCGAGGUGUUAUCAUCCAUGCAAGCUUCCCCAACCCAGCCAGUGUACCACAAGACAACAGGCAGUGAGGAGGACGGGAGGAGGGAGCGAGCGGCUGCAUGCACUAUUGAACAGGACAGCAUUACAUUCUUCCCACAGUUGUAUGACUACACUGAAGCAAGCCCAGAAUAAAGUGUUGAGUGACCAUGAUGAUUCAGCACUACUAACGCCAAAGAAGUGAGGGAAGUGUUUGGAGUGAGCGUGUAAGACCUACAACAGACACCACACUAUUACUGCCGGUGUAGCCAAAGGAACAAGAGGAGGCAGAGGAGGAAGAAGAAGAGGAACAAGAGAGUGAUUCUUGGAGACGUACCAAUGAAGUUCUGCAGAGACGACCAACCAGUCAGGAAGUCAACUGAUCAUGCAGGGAC